GACGUAGGGCGCGAGCGUUGUCCGGAUUUAUUGGGCGUAAAGAGCUCGUAGGCGGCUUGUUGCGUCGACUGUGAAAACCCGCGGCUUAACCGCGGGCCUGCAGUUGAUACGGGCAGGCUAGAGUUCGGUAGGGGAGACUGGAAUUCCUGGUGUAGCGGUGAAAUGCGCAGAUAUCAGGAGGAACACCGGUGGCGAAGGCGGGUCCCUGGACCGGCAUUGACGCUGAGGCGCGAAAGCCAGGGGAGCAAACGGG
rnacentral:rRNA from 1 species